rnacentral:lncRNA from 1 species
GAGAGCGCCACCAAAAACAGCAAGGGUCCCAAGACUGUGCCCUGUGGCACCCCGCUUGCUAUUGGUGUCUUUCCCGAGAGGGCUCCAUUGGCUGCAACCAUCUGGCUUCUGUCCUUCAGGAAGUCAUGUAUCCACUCACCUACUUUUCCUGUUAUGCCGAGUCUGAGUAAUUUGUGACAUAUCACUCCGUGGUCGACUUUGUCAAAGGCCUUCGCAAAGUCGAGAUAUACCACAUCCACCUGUGAGCGAUCCAGUAGUUGUUUCAGUACCCAGUCGUAGUGUUGUAACAGCUGCGUAAGGCAGCUUCUUCCUGGGCGAAAGCCAUGCUGUGUGUCAGUGAGACGGUUAGUUUCUUCGAGGAACGUGAUCAGUUUUUUUCUGAUGAUUCGUUCCAUGACCUUACUUAUGUGUGACGUCAGGGAGACUGGCCUGUAGUUUUUGGCCUCUGCUCUACUCCCUCCUUUGUGGAUAGGGCAUAUGGUGCCUUCUUUUAGCGCCCUGGGCAGUUUACCGUUAGCCAAGGAACCACUGAAGAGCUUCUUCAGUGGUCCCGCUAGGGCAUGCCUGCAUGUUUUUAGGAGGACUGCUGGGAAUCCAUCUGGUCCAGCAGCUGAGUUUAUUCUCAUUUCUUCUAUGGCAGAUAUUACAUCCCUCUCUGUUAUGUCUAUGUGGUCGAUGGUUGUUGUUUGGUUUUGGAGUGUUGUGGCAUCAAAGAAAACUUCUGGGUUUGUGAUUUGCAUGUGCCCCAGAGGGGAUGUGAACACACUUUUAUACUGUUCCUUUAGUAUUUCACUUAUCCCUUGGGGGUCCUCAGUUAGAGAGCCCUUUUUAUCAAAGAGUGGGCCAAUCUUGCAGUGUACCGAGGUGGUUUCUUUCGCAAAUUUAAAGAAGGCUUUAGGGUUUGUUUUAAUAUUCUCUAUGGCCCUGGCUUCUCUCUCUGUCCUCUCCUUCUCAUAGGAAAGUUUGAGUGCAGUUUCCGUUUCAAAAAGUUUCAGGUGGAGUCCCUCAUUGUUUCUCUGCCGUGCAUUCAGUUGCUUCGAGAGCUUAGCUCUUCGCCUCAUAAGUAUUUUCCUGUCUCUGGGAAUAACGUUCCUAUGCCCGCUGGCUUUUUUCUCCGGGACAAACUUAUGGCAUAUGUUCUGUAUUGUUGUCAUGAAAUGUUGGAAAUGUGUGUUGGUGUCUUGUGUGGUGAUGAAGUCACUCCAGUCAUGUUUUCGGAUCUCUUCGUUGAUCUUCUUCCAGUUUGCCUUAUGGAAGUUUAGACUGGAUAGGCCUGUGGUAUUUUCUAAUGGCUGCGUCUCAACUAACUCUCUCAUACCAUAUAUCAUUACCUCUACUAAGUUGUGAUCUGAGAGAAUUGUUGGUGUUACCAUUAUGUUGUGGAUGAGCAUCGGGUUGCUUGUGAAACAGAGGUCCAAGACAUUCUCACCUCUUGUUGGCCAAAGCACUGCUUGCUCCAUGAAAAACUUGCGUGUGAGAGCCAACAAGGACUCUGUCUGUCUCUGUUCAAGUGAUGUCAUUCCAGGGAGGAGAUGGCCAUCUGGCCAUUUGACUUUCGGAAGGUUAAAAUCUCCCAGCAGUAGAAUGGUGUUACCCUGGUCCAGUUUGUCCAGGACUUCUUCUAUUCUUCUGAGGCUAUCUUCAAACACUCCUUCAUGACUAGGGGUGUCUGGUGGCCGAUAUGUGACACAUAUUACUAUUUUCGGUUGUUUCAUGUGUACUAUCAGUGUGUCACAGACUGAGUUUGAGUGUGUCAAUAGUACUAUGGGUGUGACAUCUUCACGGACGUACAGGGCAACCCCACCAUGAGUUCUUUCCUUCCUGUCCGACCGAAAAACAGUAUACUUCGGUAUGUGUAUUUCUGCAUCUGCUAUACUGCUUGACAGGUGCGUUUCAGUCAGCGCUAUGCAUAUUGCAUGGUUGCUUGUGCUCAAGUCCCGAAGGUAAGGAAUUUUACCCAUAUUAGUGGGUUUCACCAGACCUCUGACAUUCAGCAGAAGCACUGGUGAGACACCCGGGGUGUCAAUAAAGGCUGACGGUGUGGCACCUGGGCCGGCGUCAGCGGUGGCCACCCUGGGUCCCUUGAUUGUGGUGGUCUUGAGUGCUGUUGUGAGUGCCCCUGGCUCUGAAGACGAUGUAUCCAGGCCAGUUGUCCCACAAUUUUCUCUGCCAUUUCCACAAAAUUUCUUUGUUCUGCUGCCGCCGUCUGCAUUUCCUCUGCAAAUGUGCGCCUUCUCCUUGUUGGGGCAUUACGCACUAUGUCUGCAUAUUUCUGGGGCAGCUUGUAUUUGUUCUGGUUUUGGUUAAGGCAUUUUGGUCGAGUGGGUUUGAUGCAAUUUCCAUAGGGCCUGGGAUGAGCGAACCUGCAUCCUUCCCCUGUUUCUCCAUGCCAGCAGGUUCCAUUCCGGAAGAAUUUGCAUGUUAUCUGGGUUUUCUUGUCCCCAGUUCCUCUCUGUUUUUUCUUCCUCCGUUGGACGGUUGUCCACUGGUUCCUUUCUGCAUAGGUCUUUUCAUCCGGGUGGUUAUUUUCUGUUUCCCCAUCGCCGCCUAUCUGUUGUUUGCCCUGCUUGCCUUCUUCGACUGUGGCAGUGGGCGUGUCAUUUUUUGACACUCUGUGGUUGGUGUUUCCUGUUUCCAUCUCUCUCUUUUGUCUUUGUCCACCUUGAGGACUUGGCUUAGCAAAGCCAUGUGUGGUGCAAUGAGAGUGUAGGCCCUUUCGACUUCUCUUUUCUUCCUCUCUACUUGCGCCAACGUCCUCAUAAAGCCAUGGCUUUUCAGGGUCGCCGCUAUGUUUUUAGUUGGUUGCGAUCUGUCGGCCGAGCUCCAUCCUCUGAUGAAAACUUCCAGCUCUACUUUCGUCCAGUUACGCUGGCUUUUGUUGACGCCAGUGUUUGCAUUCACCUCUAAUUUUUGCAUGUUGUCCAUUCCGUUGUAGCGGGGAGAGAGAGAAGCUGUGAGGGAAAAA